UUCACAACACGCUAGCGGGUGUUAGCACGCUAGGCUAACUUGACGUUCACUAACAGCAACAGCAGCCCGACCAGAAGAACGAGUGCCUCCACAGCACACCGCCGCCGCGCCCCUCUCAGCUGCCAACACUCCCGCUCUGCGGACCCGUCCACCCCACAGACCAAGCAUUGAGGCAGAGAGGAGGAGAGCCAGCCCCACUGCCGCGUCACAUCAGCGCCCCUCCGCACGGCUCUGGGCAGGAGAACAGGAGGACAGGCUACUGCUCCACUCUUCAAAGUCCCUGCCUCUGCGAUGACAUCCUCAACAUCGCGUGAGCCACAUUACACAAGCCAUUUCGUUUUCUACAUUGUGCAGUGCUGCAGGUUGCGGAUGGCACCGUUCUGAGGCUGCUGCCACUGCUGCGUCACUCCGGCUGCAUCACUGACCCACAAAGAGGAGAUGGGAAGGAGGGGUUGGCUUAGUCAAUGCGCGGAGGCAAAGGGAUACAUGGAAAAUAAACACCCCUGCUCUGAAUGAGUACAGCAAACAAGUGGACAUGAGGCUAUUCUCCCUCAGCUUGCGGCCGAGUUGCUGCUGUGGUAUUCAGGAAAUGGGACUGGGAGACAGAUCGCUCAUUGUUACGUAAUGAAUAUUUUUCCUCCGAGACUAGACUCAGCUGAGAAGGCGGUAUCCAAUGUUCAGAGGCUAAUAAUAGGCCAUAGUCCACACAAGACCAGUCAGGUUGCUGGCUGUGGACGUUCGCUUUUUCUAUCAGACACAGUGCUAACAAAGGACUGAAAAUAAGU